UACGGGGGGAGCAAGCGUUGUUCGGAUUUACUGGGCGUAAAGGGCGCGUAGGCGGCGUGACAAGUCACUUGUGAAAUCUCCGGGCUUAACUCGGAGCGGCCAAGUGAUACUGUCGUGCUAGAGUGCGGAAGGGGCUACUGGAAUUCUCGGUGUAGCGGUGAAAUGCGUAGAUAUCGAGAGGAACACCUGCGGCGAAGGCGGGUAGCUGGGCCGACACUGACGCUGAGGCACGAAGGCCAGGGGAGCAAACGGG
rnacentral:rRNA from 1 species